rnacentral:rRNA from 1 species
UACAGAGGUCUCAAGCGUUGUUCGGAUUCAUUGGGCGUAAAGGGUGUGUAGGUGGCGCCGUAAGUCGGGUGUGAAAUUUCGGAGCUUAACUCCGAAACUGCAUUCGAUACUGCGGUGCUUGAGGACUGGUGAGGAGACUGGAAUUCAUGGUGUAGCAGUGAAAUGCGUAGAGAUCAUGAGGAAGACCAGUGGCGAAGGCGGGUCUCUGGACAGUUCCUGACACUGAGACACGAAGGCCAGGGGAGCAAACGGG